GCCUAGGUAGCUCAGUCGGUAGAGCAGCGGACUGAAAAUCCGCGUGUCGGUGGUUCGAUUCCGCCCCUAGGCACCA
rnacentral:tRNA from 1 species